rfam:Ixodes scapularis strain Wikel colony gcontig_1108379611680, whole genome shotgun sequence.
UCCUCGUUAGUAUAGUGGUCAGUAUCCCCGCCUGUCGCGCGGGAGACCGGGGUUCGAUUCCCCGACGGGGUG